rnacentral:antisense_RNA from 1 species
CUUGAGCGAGCCGAGCAGCAGCGGCGCGCCGCCCGGCGCCCGCUCCCGGCCGUAGGUGGCGAGCAGCGCCUGCGCCUC